ensembl:lncRNA
GGCGGGACCGCGCGCGCCGCUCCGCCCACUCCUCCCGCCCGAGCCCUCCUCCCAGCAGCUGGGGGCGGGGCGAGACCCGCCCGCCCCUGUCGUGCAAGGCCCCUUUCGGCUGUCAGUCUGGCAGCGGCGCGCGCCGAUUGGGCCGCUGGCCACCGGGGAGCGGGGGCAGCAAACUAGGAUGAGCACUACUUAAGGUCUAGCUGCGUGAGCCAUUGACGUGUUUGGAGCUGGAGACGGCCCGAGCGCUGGUGAAGCGGUAACCCGAGGUGAGUGGUCCCGCGCCCCUCCCUCCGCGGUGGCUGCAGUGAAGGGGAAAGAGAAGGCCGCACCUAGGUCGCAUCGGGGCCGAAUCCACUUCCGCGCGAAGCCGCUUCUACCAGGGUUCGCCGCAUCGCGGGUCCCUUUCCGUCGCUUUCCCUCUCGGCGAUACAGGUUGGUCUCUUUUAGCCUGGACAACCUGAUGUUUACCACAACAAAAGAAACUGAACUACCUGACUCUUGACUGAGAAUACCUCCACUUUUCAGGAGCUUGUAAGGUUUGAUUAUUUUUCUUGAAUGUACUUCAUUUCUUUUAACACAACUUAUGGUUUUUGAUGGUCCCGUCUUGGGCAAGGAAAGGAGAAACCAUUUCAUACAAAAAUUCUGACCUCUGUGUGGUUUUACAGACGUAGUUUUUAUUCUGUGGCGUUUUGUAGGUCAUAGUACAUUAUUUGCUGGCUUCUCCUUCAAUCUUUAGGUGGAAGAUGAUUAAGCUAGACCAGGAUUUGGGAAUAUAAGUUAAAUCAGCUCCUUAAACUUAGUGCAGAGCAUUUAAAAAUAUUUGUGGCUGGCUUAUCCAUGGUAUACCAAUAUAUUGAAACCAAAAAAGAAAAAAAUCACUGAAAUAUUUAAGUUAGUUAAUUAUUGGUUUUUAAAUGUUUUUUAGUUUCUUUCUAUAACAUUUCUUUGAAGAUAAUAGGCAUACCAGUUUCAGUUGAACUCCAUUAUAGAGAGCAAUUGUCCUGGGAUAUAGUUGACAUACCUUUUAUAUGAAUAUAUGACUCGACAUGGAAUCACAAAAUGGCUUUUAGGAGACUGUGAUCAUCUUUAAUUGAUAAAGAUUUCUGCAGGCUGUAUCUGUAAGCUUGAGUUGAAAGAUUAAUGAAUCACACACAGUAGCAUUCCCUGAUUCCUUCAACCCAGGGAAGUAUCAAAUAGAUAGAAGAUGCCACUGGAAGUAAAGUUUCAACUCUUUUUUUUUUUAAAACUUUCCGAAAUGUCAACUAAGCGGUAACUUUCUGUUUUGGUAUGUUGGCCACGCCAGUGCUCUUUAGUUAACAAAUGUUUUUGCUAAAGAUGAGUUGAACUACAUUAUUCAACACUGUUUUGUAUAAUCAAUAUGUAAUAAGGAAAUAAUCGUUAGAGUGCAUGCUUAGGUUUUGUUAGUAUAUUUAAUUGUUUAAUCUUGAGAAAUAAGAAGAAAACUGAAUUAUAGCUGAACUAUCUAUCUUUCUUUUUGUACAUUAUAAUCAAAUUUCAGUAGAUGUGUUUAAAUAUGGCCUUUGUGCUGAGAAAUAUGAAAACUGAAUUAUAGCUGAACUAUCUUUCUUUCUGGACAUUAUAAUCAAAUUUCGGUAGAUGUAUUUAAAUAUGGCCUUUGUGCUGAGGCACCAGGGCAAUCAGUGCAAAGGAAAAACACAUCAAAGUCUUUAUUCUAUACAGAGGAUACACAAAAUUCCUCACUACAUAAUCAUUAUGCCCAAAUUAAUUUUCAAGUGAUUAUGGGGCUAAUGAGAUUUACUGAUUCAUUUUCUGUCAUCCACUGUAUAACUCUUU